rnacentral:rRNA from 1 species
GUUGAACGCUGGCGGCAUGCCUUACACAUGCAAGUCGAACGGCAGCACGGGUGCUUGCACCUGGUGGCGAGUGGCGAACGGGUGAGUAAUACAUCGGAACGUACCUUAUCGUGGGGGAUAACGCAGCGAAAGCUGUGCUAAUACCGCAUACGCCCUGAGGGGGAAAGCGGGGGAUCGAAAGACCUCGCGCGAUUAGAGCGGCCGAUGCCUGAUUAGCUUGUUGGUGGGGUAAAAACCCACCAAGGCGACGAUCAGUAGCUGGUCUGAGAGGACGAUCAGCCACACUGGGAGUGAGACACGACCCAGACUCCUACGGGAGGCAGCAGUGGGGAAUUUUGGACAAUGGGGGCAACCCUGAUCCAGCAAUGCCGCGUGAGUGAAGAAGGCCUUCGGGUUGUAAAGCUCUUUUGUCAGGGAAGAAACACCGGCUCUAACACAGUCCGGGAAUGACGGUACCUGAAGAAUAAGCACCGGCUAACUACGUGCCAGCCGCCGCCGUAA